GACGAACGCUGGCGGCGUGCCUAAUACAUGCAAGUCGAACGCAGUGGGGACGGGUGAGUAACACGUGGGUAACCUCCCAUCAGAGGGGAUAACACUUGGAAACAGGUGCUAAACCGAUACUGAUGGAUGGACCCGCGGGGCAUUAGCUAGUUGGUGAGGUAACGGCUCACCAAGGCCACGAUGCAUCGACGCCGUGAUAGGGUGUUCGGCCACACUGGGACUGAGAACCGGCCCAGACUCCUACGUGAGUCAGCAGUAGGGAAGCUUCGGCAAUGGACGAAAGUCUGACCGAGCAACGCCGAGUGAGUGAAGAGGGUUUUCGGAUCGUAAAACUCUGUUGGUAGAGAAGCGGUAUCUAACCAGAAAGCCACGGCUAACUACGUGCCAGCAGCCGCGGUAAUAC
rnacentral:rRNA from 1 species